AACGAACGCUGGCGGCAGGCUUAACACAUGCAAGUCGAACGCCCCGCAAGGGGAGUGGCAGACGGGUGAGUAACGCGUGGGAACAUACCCUUUUCUACGGAAUAGCUCUGGGAAACUGGAAUUAAUACCGUAUACGCCCUACGGGGGAAAGAUUUAUCGGGGAAGGAUUGGCCCGCGUUGGAUUAGCUAGUUGGUGGGGUAAAGGCCUACCAAGGCGACGAUCCAUAGCUGGUCUGAGAGGAAGAUCAGCCACAUUGGGACUGAGACACGGCCCAAACUCCUACGGGAGGCAGCAGUGGGGAAUAUUGGACAAUGGGCGCAAGCCUGAUCCAGCCAUGCCGCGUGAGUGAUGAAGGCCUUAGGGUUGUAAAGCUCUUUCACCGAUGAAGAUAAUGACGGUAGUCGGAGAAGAAGCCCCGGCUAACUUCGUG
rnacentral:rRNA from 1 species